rfam:Gossypium arboreum cultivar AKA8401 contig_21523_1, whole genome shotgun sequence.
UAUUAUAAAUUUCAUCUACUUAUACCGUUAAAAAUUAGUGUGGCUGGUGAAACAAUUAGACAGUGACAUGUAGUGUGCAACAUGUACCUCAUAUUAAAUACAAGAGCUAGUUUUUAACAAUAAAAAUUGAUAAAAUUUUUAACA